rnacentral:rRNA from 1 species
UACGAAGGGGGCGAGCGUUGUUCGGAUUUACUGGGCGUAAAGGGCUCGUAGGCGGCCAACUAAGUCGGAUGUGAAAUCCCCAGGCUCAACCUGGGAACUGCAUCCGAUACUGGAUGGCUUGAAUCCGGGAGAGGGAUGCAGAAUUCCAGGUGUAGCGGUGAAAUGCGCAGAUAUCAGGAGGAACACCGGUGGCGAAGGCGGGUCUCUGGGCAACAACUGACGCUGAGGAGCGAAAGCGUGGGGAGCGAACAGG